rnacentral:rRNA from 1 species
UACGUAGGCAGCAAGCGUUGUUCGGAAUUACUGGGCGUAAAGGGCUCGUAGGCGGCCAACUAAGUCAGACGUGAAAUCCCUCGGCUUAACCGGGGAACUGCAUCUGAUACUGGAUGGCUUGAGUUCGGGAGAGGGAUGCGGAAUUCCAGGUGUAGCGGUGAAAUGCGUAGAUAUCUGGAGGAACACCGGUGGCGAAGGCGGCAUCCUGGACCGACACUGACGCUGAGGAGCGAAAGCCAGGGGAGCAAAGCGGG